rnacentral:rRNA from 1 species
ACACUCUUUCCCUACACGACGCUCUUCCGAUCUUAAGUGGUGACUCAGUGGGAAAGGAUGUGGAGUUGCGUAGACAACCAGGAGGUUGGCUUGGAAGCAGCCAUCCUUGAAAGAGUGCGUAAUAGCUCACUGGUCAAGUGAUUCCGCGCCGAUAAUGUAGCGGGGCUUAAGUUAUCCGCCGAAGCUGUGGCAACCUGUGUGGUUGGGUAGGGGAGCGUCGUGUCAGUGGUGAAGCUGCCGGGUGACUGUGUGGUGGAGUUGAUGCGAGUGAGAAUGCAGGCAUGAGUAGCGUGUGACGGGUGGGAAUCCCGUCCGCCGAUUAUCCAAGGGUUCCAGGGUCAAGUUUGUCUGCCCUGGGUGAGUCGGGUCCUAAGGCGAGGCCGACAGGCGUAGUCGAUGGGUAACCAGUUGAUAUUCUGGUACCGGCUUGUCACCGUCCGUGUCGAGGUGUGUGAUGCUAAGCAUGUGAGCUUGUCUUGGGAGUGUUUUUGAUGCUUCUGGGGUGGGUGAGUGUGUGAACCGAUCAUGUAGUAGGCAAGCUGCGGAGGGACGCAGUGAGGUAGCUCAUCCCCGGUGAUGGUUGUCCGGGGCUAAGUGUGUGGACUGUCUGGUAGGUAAAUCCGCUGGGCGUGAAGGUUGAGGCAUGAUGGGGAGCCCACGGUUGUGGGUGAGUGAGUGAUCCUGUACUGUCGAGAAAAGCUUCGUGAGCGAGGUGGCGGGUCCGCCCGUACCCUAAACCGACACUGGUGGAUAGGUAGAGUAUACCGAGGCGAUCGAGUGAAUCGUGGUGAAGGAACUCGGCAAAAUGCCCCCGUAACUUUGGGAUAAGGGGGACCUGAGCUGUCGUGCACCCGUGCGGUGUGGUGGCGGUGAGGGGCGCAGAGUCCAGGGGGAAACGACUGUUUACCAAAAACACAGGUCCGUGCGAAGUCGUAAGACGAUGUAUACGGACUGACUCCUGCCCGGUGCUGGAAGGUUAAGGGGAACUGUGAGUGUAUGCGUAGCGGUGAACUUAAGCCCCAGUAAACGGCGGUGGUAACUAUAACCAUCCUAAGGUAGCGAAAUUCCUUGUCGGGUAAGUUCCGACCUGCACGAAUGGCGUAACGACUUCCCCACUGUCUCAACAAGAGGUCCAGCGAAAUUGGUGAGCGCGUGAAGAAACGCGCUACCCGCGGAAGGACGAAAAGACCCCGUGAACCUUUACUGUAACUUGGCAUUGGGUUUCGAUUAACGAUGCGUAGGAUAGGUGGGAGAUGUUGAUCUGUGCGUUCCGGCGUACAGGGAGUCAUCCUUGAAAUACCACCCUUCGUUAAUUGGAAUCCUAACCUACGGUCGUAAUCCGGCCGGGGGACAAUGUCUGGUGGGCAGUUUGACUGGGGCGGUCGCCUCCUAAAGAGUAACGGAGGCGCGCUAAGGUUCCCUCAGGCUGAAUGGAAACCAGCCGUAGAGUGUAAACGUAUAAGGGAGCUUGACUGCGAGACAUACACGUCGAGCAGGUGCGAAAGCAGGCGUUAGUGAUCCGGUGGUUCCGAGUGGAAGGGCCAUCGCUCAACGGAUAAAAGGUACUCCGGGGAUAACAGGCUGAUCUCCUCCAAGAGCUCACAUCGACGAGGAGGUUUGGCACCUCGAUGUCGGCUCAUCGCAUCCUGGGGCUGGAGCAGGUCCCAAGGGUUUGACUGUUCGUCAAUUAAAGCGGUACGCGAGCUGGGUUCAGAACGUCGUGAGACAGUUCGGUCUCUAUCCUCCGUGGGCGUAAGAUAUUUGAGAAGAGCUGACCUUAGUACGAGAGGACCGGGUUGGACGAACCUAUGGUGUACCAGUUGUCACGCCAGUGGCACCGCUGGGUAGCUAAGUUCGGAAAGGAUAACCACUGAAAGCAUCUAAGUGGGAAGCCCCCUUCAAGAUAAGAUAUCUAUUAAGUGUGGUUGUAGACUACGACCUUGAUAGGCAGGAUGUGUAAGCACUGUAAAGUGUUAAGCUGACCUGUACUAAAUACACGUUUUGCUUAUCAAGG